rnacentral:rRNA from 1 species
CAGCAGCCGCGGGAAUACGAAGGGUGCAAGCGUUAAUCGGAAUUACUGGGCGUAAAGCGUGCGUAGGCGGUGAGUUAAGUCUGCUGUGAAAUCCCCGGGCUCAACCUGGGAAUGGCAGUGGAUACUGGCUCGCUAGAGUGUGUCAGAGGAUGGUGGAAUUCCCGGUGUAGCGGUGAAAUGCGUAGAGAUCGGGAGGAACAUCAGUGGCGAAGGCGGCCAUCUGGGACAACACUGACGCUGAGGCACGAAAGCGUGGGGAGCAAGCAGGAUUAGAUACCCCCGUAGUCCCUGUCUCUUAUAA